AGCUGUAUUUACAGAUUUCAACUUGAAGAGUCAGCUCUGAUACACAGCUUGGAAGCAGAUUUACAUCCAAGCUGCCACUCUUGUGCCAAGUCCAGAAUGAUCCCUCUUUGCACUGGGUGCUUUCUGAUCCUACUGGGAAAAUACCUUAAAAAUUAGCACAAGAAGCAAGUGGAUCCUUGCAGAGAAAUACAGCAGAGACUUCAUAGAUUUGAGUUUCCUCCCUGUUGGUAGAAUGUGGAUAACAUGUAG